rnacentral:rRNA from 1 species
UACGUAGGGCGCAAGCGUUUAUCCGGAUUUAUUGGGCGUAAAGAGCUCGUAGGCGGUUCGGUAAGUCGGGUGUGAAAACUCUGGGCUCAACCCAGAGAGGCCACCCGAUACUGCUGUGACUAGAGUGCGGUAGGGGAGCGGGGAAUUCCUGGUGUAGCGGUGAAAUGCGCAGAUAUCAGGAGGAACACCAGCGGCGAAGGCGCCGCUCUGGGCCGUAACUGACGCUGAGGAGCGAAAGCAUGGGUAGCAAACAGG